AGGGAGAGAGAAGAGUGCGAGCUAACUUCACUCAGAGAUGAAGAAAGAUGUAGAAAAACAGGACAGGUUAGAUUAAAAGAUGUGUUCCCAACUCUGCCAACAAGAGCUCAAACUGCCCGCUGACACCCUGAAAUAUGUAUGAAAGCGAUCGUGAUACACCUUCCACUCCUGGAUCAACUCCUGAGAAAUUCUCCCAAGAGGUCAAGCAGAGCACACCAUAUGGUCCUCAAUGGAGAUAAGACACCCAGAGAAUCAGAGAGCAGAGGAUCUCCUCUACAGAUCCACCCAUGAAUAAUAACUACAUAAUUCAUUCAGAUGCACAUACCCUCACCCCACAACAACAGAAUUCCCUGUUGAACUGCUAAUACUAUCAGCACCUCUAUAACUCCUACUUAAUUGAGCUAAUACGACUGGCACAGUGUGAAAAUAACCUGACCUUUGUUCACUCAUUCUUACCUACAUUGUUUGUGUGUGAUUUCCAUUAGCACCUGCACGACGUUAUGCCGAAGACCACAUUCACCCACCUGAUCAUGAAGAUGAUCUGCGUGAAAUAUUCAAACCUCCCAGAGCCAAUUAGGGUAAUGGGGGUGUAUUUGCAUAUUUAGACGGAAGGGGGAAAGAUAAAGGGAGAAGGAACAGAUGAAGGGCUGGAGGGAUGGAGGAAUGAGGAAGAAAAGAUAAAAAGAAAGAAAAACAUCAUUGGAAGGUUCAUAAAAAUCUUUGCAGGCUUCUGGCUGUGUCUGUUCAUUGACUGUUACAACCAAAGCUGUCAUCACAUUACCAACGGCACUGCAAUAUCUGAGAGGAUUAAUACAGAAAAAUACACAAAAUACACAAAAAUAACUUUUAAAAAAGACUGGUUUGUUAAAUGCAAUUGAUAUUAUUUAAUGUAUUGAAUGAAGGCUGGAAAAAUUUGGCAGAUUGAACAGUUUGAUCUGUUUCAUGACCUUUUAUCAAGGUUAUAGGCUUGCUUCUUGAUUUUACACAAACAUCAGUGGUUUUCUGUUUAAACUAAGUUACAUUACUUGAUAUAUCUUAGUCAACAAUUUAGUCAGACGAGUUAUACAUAAGAUAAAAGUAAACUUAAACUCCUAGUUAGUGAGAGACUAUGCAUUCUUUGAGCAUCAUAGCAAGCAGACAGUUUGUUGAGUUGAAGAACAUAAGAUACACAGAAGUUAGAGAAUUAAAACCUUCAGGUACUUUUAGAAAAAGAAGUAAAAUACUUUUAUUUUGAAGACAUUGCAAUUAUUCAGCAAAGAGAUGAUUUCAAAUGAAAUGACCUUUGCAGCACAUGUAUGAUCCUUCAAACUGCUUUCAUCAUGUUAUUGAUUGUAUUGGUUCUGCGCUGGAGACAUUUCAACAGGAACAGCCUUUAUCUGGUUCAAUGAAACGGCCCUGCUAUUGAGCGCAUAGGCUCUCUGUUACAUUGUCAGAACAAACUGAGACGUUUAAGCCGAACUGAACCGUCAUUAAAGGUGAAAUAUGUAACGCUUGUCAGCUUCUUUUUUUUGAAACACAACUUUAAGGUGGAGAGAUAAAAUGUCUUGAUGUAUGCUCAAUCAUCCAGGUAAGUAAAGGGAAAGCCCAUCUCUGAAUCGAGGAGGGGGCCUAAGGAUACAUCUUUCACCAUCUUACAAUGCUGUGUGAGUGACAAAA